rnacentral:rRNA from 1 species
AUUGAACGCUGGCGGCAGGCCUAACACAUGCAAGUCGAACGAGUGGCGGACGGGUGAGUAAUGUCUGGGAAACUGCCCGAUGGAGGGGGAUAACUACUGGAAACGGUAGCUAAUACCGCAUACCAUCGGAGGUGGCCAGAUGGGAGUAGCUAGUGGGUGGGGUAACGGCUCACCUAGGCGACGAUCCAUAGCUGGUCUGAGAGGAUGACCAGCCACACUGGAACUGAGACACGGCCCAGACUCCUACGGGAGGCAGCAGUGGGGAAUAUUGCACAAUGGGCGCAAGCCUGAUGCAGCCACGCCGCGUGAAUGAAGAAGGCCUUCGGGUUGUAAAGUACUGUCAGCGAGGAGGCGUUACUCGCAGCAGAAGCACCGGCUAACUCCGUGCCAGCCGCCGCGGUAAUAC